rnacentral:rRNA from 1 species
CAGCCGCCGCGGGAAUACGGAGGGUGCGAGCGUUAAUCGGAAUUACUGGGCGUAAAGCGUACGCAGGCGGUUUGUUAAGUCAGAUGUGAAAUCCCCGAGCUUAACUCGGGAACUGCAUUUGAAACUGGCAGGCUAGAGUCUCGUAGAGGGGGGUAGAAUUCCAGGUGUAGCGGUGAAAUGCGUAGAGAUCUGGAGGAAUACCGGUGGCGAAGGCGGCCCCCUGGACGAAGACUGACGCUCAGGUACGAAAGCGUGGGGAGCAAACAGGAUUAGAUACCCGUGUAGUCCCUGUCUCUUAUAC